rnacentral:rRNA from 1 species
GGGUUCGAUCAUACCAGUGUUAAUGCACCGGAUCUCAUCAGAACUCCGCAGUUAAG